UCGGGGUGAAGCUCGUGGAACGAGCGGCGGACGGGUGAGUAACACGUGGGCAACCUGCCUGUAAGAUCGGAAUAACCCCGGGAAACCGGGGCUAAUGCCGGGUAAUACUUUCUUUCGCAUGAAGGAAAGUUGAAAGAUGGCUUCUUGCUAUCACUUACAGAUGGGCCCGCGGCGCAUUAGCUAGUUGGUGAGGUAACGGCUCACCAAGGCGACGAUGCGUAGCCGACCUGAGAGGGUGAUCGGCCACACUGGGACUGAGACACGGCCCAGACUCCUACGGGAGGCAGCAGUAGGGAAUCUUCCGCAAUGGACGAAAGUCUGACGGAGCAACGCCGCGUGAACGAUGAAGGUCUUCGGAUCGUAAAGUUCUGUUGUUAGGGAAGAACAAGUACCGUGCGAAUAGAGCGGUACCUUGACGGUACCUAACGAGGAAGCCCCGGCUAACUACGUGCCAGCAGCCGCGGUAAUACGUAGGGGGCAAGCGUUGUCCGGAAUUAUUGGGCGUAAAGCGCGCGCAGGCGGUUCCUUAAGUCUGAUGUGAAAGCCCACGGCUCAACCGUGGAGGGUCAUUGGAAACUGGGGAACUUGAGGACAGAAGAGGAGAGUGGAAUUCCACGUGUAGCGGUGAAAUGCGUAGAUAUGUGGAGGAACACCAGUGGCGAAGGCGAC
rnacentral:rRNA from 1 species